rnacentral:rRNA from 1 species
CUUACACAUGCAAGUCGAACGAGUAUGAGGGCUUCGCCUCUCUAGUAAAGUGGCGGACGGGUGCGUAACACGUGGGUAAUCAACCUUCCAGCGGGGGACAACCGUCCGAAAGGAUGGCUAAUACCGCGUACGUCUGCGAGGACUCCGGUUCUUGCUGAGAAAGAUGGCCUCUCCUUGGAAGCUAUCGCUGGAAGACGAACCCGCGGCCCAUCAGCUAGUUGGUGAGGUAACGGCUCACCAAGGCUUAGACGGGUAGCUGGUCUGAGAGGAUGAUCAGCCACACUGGGACUGCGACACGGCCCAGACUCCUACGGGAGGCAGCAGUGGGGAAUAUUGGGCAAUGGGCGAAAGCCUGACCCAGCCACGCCGCGUGAGUGAUGAAGGCCUUCGGGUCGUAAAGCUCUGUGGGGAGGGACGAACAAACCGGGCGCUAAUCACCCCGGUCCUGACGGUACCUCCUUAGCAAGCACCGGCUAACCCUGUGCCAGCAGCCGCGGUAAUACAGGGGGUGCAAACGUUGCUCGGAAUUAUUGGGCGUAAAGCGCGCGUAGGCGGCUACUUAAGUCGGAUGUGAAAGCCCCUGGCUCAACCGGGGAAGUGCACCCGAAACUGAGUAGCUUGAGUGCAAAAGAGGGCUGCGGAAUUCCCGGUGUAGAGGUGAAAUUCGUAGAUAUCGGGAGGAACACCGGUGGCGAAGGCGGCAGCCUGGGUUGACACUGACGCUGAGGCGCGAAAGCGUGGGGAGCAAACAGGAUUAGAUACCCUGGUAUCCACCCCCUAAACGAUGAGUGCUAGAUGUUUCUGGUAUUGACCCCGGA